UUUUAGAACUUACAUUCUCGGGCCCAAAAUCCCUGUUCGCUCUCUCAUGCCUCAAAACUUUCGGAAUCUUAACGCAGUCUGGGAAUAGGCUAUCUUACUAGAGCGGAGGAAGAGAUGGUAUAGAUUCAUGAGAUGUGUUCUAACCAAGGUACCGGGGAAGAUCAUGGGCUUUCUUAUCUGCUUGGUAUUUUUAUCUUCUCAAGUGCUGAGCCCAGACUUGAUUGUCAGCAGGAGUUCUGAGAUUAGGAGGUGGAGCCCCUCCUCUAGGGGAGAUUUUUGUAGAGGACAGGUGAUCAUGGCUACCCCUCCUUUC